rnacentral:rRNA from 1 species
UACGGGGGGAGCAAGCGUUGUUCGGAUUUACUGGGCGUAAAGGGCGCGUAGGCGGCCUCUGCAAGUCGACUGUGAAAUCUCCGGGCUUAACCCGGAACGGUCAGCCGAUACUGCAGGGCUAGAGUGCAGAAGGGGCAACUGGAAUUCUCGGUGUAGCGGUGAAAUGCGUAGAUAUCGGGCGGAACACCAGCGGCGAAGGCGGCAUCCUGGCCCUAUCCUGACGCUGAGGCGCGAGAGCGUGGGGAGCAAACCGG